CAGCUGAUCUCGGGGACUUGGAGUUGGAGCAAGAGAUGGUUCCCAGGGCCUCUCUCACCAUCCUCUUCAUUGCGCUCCUAAUUUCGGCUGAAUUAAUGGCUCCAUCGGAAACCAGAUCAACAAACAUGCCGACCGGAGUACUACCAAAGACUAGAUACCAUGGCGAGUACCUUGGCACCAGUCAAAUUGAGGGUCGUCAUCAUGGUUCACCAUGGGGCCCAAGUUGUGCAAUAUCACCGUGCCACUGCCCCCGGCCACCAUGCUAGCAGUUGGUCUUGGCUGAAGGUGGACCUGUAUCCUCGAGUCUGUGACCGAUCGUUGUUCAAAUACUUUAAUAAUUAUCUAAAUCUUUAAUCUUAUGUGACAGCAGGAUAAGAAUGAGAUAUUAUGUAUAAUGGUCCUGGUGAUCAAAAAGAAUCAAUACCUGCACACAUGUAUAAUGAAUAUAAUGACUCAAUUAUAAAAUCUUUAUUUGAAUUUUCA